GGAUAUCAGCCAGAUUUUUUUUAAUCAAUUUUUGAAAUCAGGCGAAAUGACAGCGGAAAUGGGCAGCCACCGCGUUCCAUUAUGAAUACAGCAAGUUGCACCAUUAGGAAGCCAGCGCGUUGCAUUACCGUAAUGCACACAAUGAUCCAAAUGAGGGGUGGCUAGCUUGACUUCGUUUUAACGAGUGGAGGGUGGCUUGACCGCAGUAAACAGAGGAAGGGGUAAGUGCUGCCGCGCCAAGCCACUUCUGGCUGCAUUUUCGACACAUGAAAAAUAACGAAUACGUACUACUGUAUGACGGAAAAUUUUAGUGGUUUUGUAACCGCCACGUUUUCAUAGCAUGGUAAACCGUGAAGGUAACCGGCACAUGCCUACCCCACCCCCCCCGACCCCCUUAAAAGUUUUCUCCUCGGAUCUACACGAUUCACGUAGGUCAUCCUUUUUGACUUCAAAACGGCGAAUUUCGCCGAAAGAGGCCCUUUGUGACAUACUUAUCUCUUUGAUGCACAUGGAUUGAAUUCUCAAUGGCAGCCUAAUCUGCUCCACAACAUUGGAGGAUUCCAUGAGGGAAUCAUUCGUUGCCAAACGGAACAGCUGCUCGACAUCCUUUAAGAGAGUGAAGACCUCAUCUGAUGGCCGGUGCUUCAACCAAUGCACACUGGCAUUGGUUGCAGAGUGUGAAGCUGAUGACCCUCUUCACUAUGCAUCCUGCCAGAUGUUGCCAUUUUGCCUGACGGCGUGGUCCCUGGCGCAUCUUGGACUAGUGUUGUGGCGCCACCGCUGGUUCCUGAUUGGUCGGCACCCGGCUCAUCCACCCCUGGAUCACCUUGCCUGGAUACGUCAUUGUCAUUGUGCUCACUUUCGCCCAACCUUCCCACCUCAAUUUCUCCCUGAAUGUCUGUAACAAUAACAAGGCAUUCUUAAUUUUAUAUGCAGUCAGUGUAUUUACAUUUGCACCUAUUGUCAUCUCCAAAGUAAGGGUACACUACACUCCUAAAGGGAAAAAAAAAAAAACGGACAUUACUGUUACAUGAAUCAAAUCAUCUGCCACAAUCAGAAACUGCUAUGGCAUUGCCAUGUGUCAACAGUCUGGUGAUAUCAUGGAGUUGGUUGUGCUUUGCUGUUGUAUCCACCAGAAAUGUUUAGUUAUAGGUGAAAAUUAAAUGCAUAAAUAAAGCUAAAUUAUGAAGUAACUAACAAUGAAGUAGAUCGAAAUUUUAUGUGUAGAUCCCAGGACAAUUCCUGACCUCUUGUAUUUGAAGCUGAAUGUAUUAAUAUGAAAAAUAUAAUUAUCUUAUUAGGAGUGUAGUUUAUCCUUGAAUUACUUGGCAUGGGAAAUGUUGUUGACAGCUGGUCUGUAUCAUACCCAAGUUUAACCUGGUGCAAUAUGUAUGGUCCGUUUGAAUUUUGGUUGGAGGCACACUCCUAAAGGGAAGUUUCCUCCUCUUUGGCUUCGAACGAUGAAUGAAAAUGGUUGGGACAGCAUCUGGCCUCAAUUUGAAUGUGUGCCCUACUUUGGUUGGCGUAAACUGGUCCUCCUCAAAGUGUUCCUGAUGUUUGGUUCGCAAGAUACGUUUCCAUUCUACUUAAAAUUUUUUUUUUUUUUUUUAAAGUCAUAAUACCGUGACUUACAUGACAGAGUUUAUAGUUGUUGCUGGCCCCCUUCAAUUUCAGAUUUUUACGGCUGACCAUUGCCAGCCACCGUUUCAGCCGGUUUUUGUCCUUCGGGAAACCAUACAUUCGGUAGCCCUUUUCGGACCGAUUGGUGCAUCCAAAAGCUGCACAACCAACCAUCACGAUCUCUAAAAUGUUAGGUGUGAGCACUGAAUCAUGACACCAAUUUUACCUAUUUAAUAAAAAAUAAAUAUUACUGUAAUAUUAAAUAUUUUCUUUAUCAAAGGGUAAUACGUUAUGUAAUAUAUUACCACAGGUAAGUGUAUCAAGAAAAUCUGGGCAUUCUCUGGAAAAACAGUAUUCUAGUUGUGGGGGGGGGAAAUACAUCUUGCAUUUCAAUGUAUAAGUUGAUUUCCAAUGCUAUUACUAACACAAACAUGAAACUCCCUCCAAGACAUGGGAACUUUCCCUUCUGUGUAACAGUUUACAUAGUUUUCAGUUGUUGCCUUACCACUCCAAAUGUAAAACUAGCAUUUAUAAACACUAUAGUGCAAUGACAUAAUCAAACAAGUACUUAAAAUACGUGAUUUUAUCUAUUUUUACCAUAAAUGGAGCAAUCACCGCUAUCUGGUUCAUGGAAUACUAUUACAGCGCUGCUUGUGUUUGUAACUAUACACGCCUACAUGAGGCACGUGACCA